CGGCGAUGCGUCCUGGUCGGAUG
rnacentral:siRNA from 1 species